rnacentral:rRNA from 1 species
AUUGAACGCUGGCGGCAUGCUUUACACAUGCCAGUCGAACGGUAACAGGCCGCAAGGUGCUGACGAGUGGCGAACGGGUGAGUAAUGCAUCGGAACGUGCCCAGUCGUGGGGGAUAACUACUCGAAAGAGUAGCUAAUACCGCAUACGAUCUAUGGAUGAAAGCGGGGGACCGUAAGGCCUCGCGCGAUUGGAGCGGCCGAUGUCAGAUUAGGUAGUUGGUGGGGUAAAGGCUUACCAAGCCAACGAUCUGUAGCUGGUCUGAGAGGACGACCAGCCACACUGGGACUGAGACACGGCCCAGACUCCUACGGGAGGCAGCAGUGGGGAAUUUUGGACAAUGGGCGCAAGCCUGAUCCAGCAAUGCCGCGUGCAGGAAGAAGGCCUUCGGGUUGUAAACUGCUUUUGUACGGAACGAAACGGCUCUGGUUAAUACCCGGGGCUAAUGACGGUACCGUAAGAAUAAGCACCGGCUAACUACGUG